ACMCGACUCUCGGCAACGGAUAUCUCGGCUCUCGCAUCGAUGAAGAACGUAGCGAAAUGCGAUACCUGGUGUGAAUUGCAGAAUCCCGCGAACCAUCGAGUCUUUGAACGCAAGUUGCGCCCGAGGCCACUUGGCCGAGGGCACGCCUGCCUGGGCGUCACGC
rnacentral:rRNA from 1 species